CUGGGCUCCACAAGAGUCCUUGGAUGGUGCCUGCAGAGACAAAAAAACACAUGGAUCAGGUGCCUGUUCCCUCAGCAGUUUUCUCCAUGGAGCUGCCGGAACAGCCUAAGCCUCAGCAGGAGCCAGGGGAAAGCUGACAUGGAAACUCGCCUGGGAACUCCUGUGGCCAGGGAUGGAUGGCUCCAACUGAUGGCAGCUCUGCACGACAGGGCUUUGUGCCACUUGUUGACAGCUGUGGUUCAGGCAGGGAGAGGCUAAUUUCUGUUACAGCCUGUGAGCUCCUGAUCCACCCAGCAGAGACACAGCUAUGCUGUCACAAAGUGGCAUGUAUUUUCCCUGCUUGCACCUGCAGACUUAAAGGAAAACUGGAUGAAACCUGACACCGAGAGUGAGCAGUUUCCUUAGCAGGGAUUGCACGUUGCUGUUUCGGAAAUGGUGACUAAGAAGGGUUUUGCCGCCGGUCUCCCAGAACUCGCAGCAGGCUACAGAGACCUUCCUCAAACGUAAAAGACAAACCACCAAAAGCCAACACCCAGCAAACACGACCAGCUGAAGCUUCAUCUCCUUCCCACCACCAUCAAGCCUUGCUGCCAGAAGCCACGGGUAAAUGCUUUCAUUCCCUAAAGGGAGUGAUUUAGAAAACUACUGAUAUGGAUGUUGGAUAACAAGGUUAAAGUGAAACUAUUUUGCAAGCUGCUGCCUGGAGCCCGCCCGUCAUCACCGUCUGCACACGCGCGGCUGCCCUCGGCUCCAGAAUCACCGAGACUGUGGCCAAAAGAUCAGUUCUGAGUUUAGGUGAGCGCCACUGUCAUCACUGGAUGCACCGGGAGCUCCUCAGAGCCGUCCUGGGCUCCUCCAAACUAUGGAACGGGCGGGCAGCAGCCCCCAGCCAUGGCCCUCCCUGGGGUCGAUCACUUGGGGUUUUGGUUACAAGAGGCUCAGGGGCUGCCAGAGAAGCAGUGGAUGCCCCAUCCCUGGAAGCGUCCAGGGUCAGGCAGGACGGGGCUUGGAACAACCUGCUCUAAUGGACGGUGUCCCUGCCUAUGGCAAGGGGGGUGGAACGAGGAGUCCUUCAAGCCCCUUCCAAUCAAACCGCUCUAGGAUUCUGUGGUGUUCAAAACGCGUGUGUGCAGCUCGGGUGCUCCAACACCCCGGUGCCAGGCAGACUGCCCCAGACACAGGUUCCCUCAGAACUGCUGCCUGUUCAUCGAUCGCUCUUUCCCCAGCCCCCAUUCUCACCCCCUCCCCCCGGGCGGCGCGAAGGAGAUGAUGUGGCCUUA